rnacentral:misc_RNA from 1 species
AAGUCGUAACAAGGUUUCCGUAGGUGAACCUGCGGAAGGAUCAUUACCGGGUCUGAGGGGGGAAACCCCCAACCCAACCCAUCUGCUUACCCACCGCGUUGCUUCGGCGGGGGACGCCCCCGGCGUGCCGCCCCGCCCGGACGGCCAAACGAAACCCGAUCAGUCAGUGACGUCUGAGCGAAAUGCGAAAACAAGUAAAAA